UGGCUCAGUUGGUAGAGCGUGGUGUUUGCAACGCCAGGGUUGUGGGUUCAAUUCCCAC
rfam:Salmo salar isolate Sally breed double haploid chromosome ssa12, whole genome shotgun sequence.